rnacentral:tRNA from 1 species
AGUCUUGCGGUGUAUGACACGCUAGGUUGCAAACCUAGAGACGCGGCUUAAACCCCGCCUGGACUU